UACGUAGGUGGCAAGCGUUGUCCGGAUUUACUGGGUGUAAAGGGAGCGCAGGCGGGAAGACAAGUCAGCUGUGAAACCUAUGGGCUCAACCCAUAGACUGCAGUUGAAACUGUUUUUCUUGAGUGAAGUAGAGGUAGGCGGAAUUCCGGGUGUAGCGGUGAAAUGCGUAGAUAUUCGGAGGAACACCAGUGGCGAAGGCGGCCUACUGGGCUUUAACUGACGCUGAGGCUCGAAAGUGUGGGGAGCAAACAGG
rnacentral:rRNA from 1 species